UCUAAAAUGAUGUAUCUCCCUAUUUGUAUAUAUGUAGGCGUGUAAAUCUACAGGAAAAGUCCUGGAAGGACACAGGCUUGGUAGCUCAGUACCCAGGCCACAGUAGCUCCUGGCUUCCUGGAAAGCCUCCAGGAGAAGAAGGGAUUCGGUAGGGAACUUUCAAUUCUAGUAUUUUAAAAUAAAGAUUCUGCAUUCCUUUACUGCUGGAAUAUUUCAAAACAGGUAGAGUGUAUUUCUUUUUUUCCAAAUGUGAACUUUGUCUACUAUUGCCUGAUGGUCCCAGAGCUACCAGAAUCACAAGAUCCACAUGCAGAAUUAGUCCACCAGACAGCUUAGUUUCACCAUCUGGUGAGAAGGGAACCAAUGACGGGAUGUCCCUCAAAGGCCCCAAGAUUCCCUCAUUCAACUGUGGAGGAAGCCACCACCAGUGCAGUUGUGGAACAGUGUGUGUGGUGGGUAGGGGAGAGGGCAGUGGCAUGUGAGGGCAGAAAGGUUCUCUCCCUGACCCAUCGGCCCACCCACUCAGACUCCAGAUGAGGACAAGGAGCCUAAGGAUGCGGUGGUAGAAGGAGAUGGACAGCAGCCCAGUUAAAGAACCUCCCAAGAGUCCCAGGCAGGAUUAACCAGGAAAUUAAUUAGCACUGAAUCCAUGCUCAGACUGAGGCCACCUCUCCAGUCAACUGCUCCCCAGUGCACAGGCUGCCUUGGAAUGGAGGGAACCCCCACAUCAGGUGAAAGGCCAUAAUCCCCACUUGGUAAGAAUGCAGUAGGGGUGGCUAUAGUCAGAUAUUCCUAGGUUCUAAUCCUGGCUCAGACCCUUCCUGGCUGGGUAGUUGUGGGCAAGUUCUUCAACCUUCCUGUGCCUCAAGCCCCUCAUCUGUAAAGUGGGAACAGGAUGCAAAGCCCACAAGAUUCUUGUGAUGAUGAAAUGAAAACACAAAUAAAUUAGAGUGGCUCUCUUGAAGGUGAGUGUCAGGAAAUGGUCACUACUUUUGGUCCAUUAGUAUUAUUGUUAUUCAUAGCUGAAGAUGCUACCCUUGAGAGUCUCAGAAAUCUUCCCAGGAAUUAGGCUAGGAAGACACUCCUUACCUAGGCGGCUGUUCUGACAGUCAAGCCAGAUGAUCUCUGACUGUGUAGCAGCUUUGUGCCCUGUGAAGCAGGACCCUCCCCCAAGUGCUGCUCUCCAGAGGCCACGCCUGCACUCCAGGCUGCCUGGCCAUAUCCAUGCUUCAGAGCCUGGUGGGGCCUAUGAUAAGCUCCACUGGACAAAGGGGGUAACUGGGUCUCUGAUGAGCAAGGGACUUUGCAGGCCAUGCUAGAAUCUCUACUGUAGGAUGAAAGUGGUCCCUAAUAACUAACCACCUCUGGCUGUUCCCUGACACCCCUCGGGGUGGGGGGAAUAAGGACGGUUCAUACCAAACACUCCCAGAACCCAGGGCAGACAGGUGUACACACGCCCCUCAAAAACACACUUUGCCUAAGCCAGCCAGCAGAAACAUAUCCAGGGCAGAGACAGGCACACACAUUAAGUGACACACACCUUGCCCUCCAUGGGCCUGCCUGCCCGCUCACACACACACCAAGCUCUCCAAGCUAUCACACUAAGGAGUGCACCACUGAUACCCACAGGCCACACUCACAGUCUGACGCACACACCCUCCCCCAACCGGGCAGAAGGCAGUCGGCAGAAGGCCCCGCCCUCCGCAGCCAGGCUCCUCCCGUGGGAGCGGAAGCCGCGGCUGGUGGCCUCAGAGCCGAGGGUUCAGCGGAAACCGAGGGGCGGCGGGGGGCUGGGAGCGAGGGAGGCAAAGGGAAAGAGGCUAGGGCCCAGGGGUGGGAGAAGGGGCGAACCUCGACCCUUGUCCCCCACACCCCAGCGUCUGCAGGCACAACACAGAACAUCCCCGGGAACAAAAUACCCAAGCGCACAGUACAACCCGCAGAGCCUCAGCCGCAUCGCCGGACGCACACCUGCAUCCCGCGUUCCGCAUCCUCGCUCGCACUCUCCCUGCACACGCCUUCGGCCUCCGGGGCACCCCAGCCUUGUUCCCGCCAUGUCCCCCGCACCGCCGACACCUGUCACCAGACAGUACACCCUGUCAUUGCACAGCUCCACUUGGUAUACCACAGCCGAAGAGAAGUUCCAUGAACUCAGGACCCAGCUGGUUUUCACUCUUGCCAUUGCAUCCCCUAGCAGAUCUUGGCACAAUAUAGACUCCAUACCUGUUCAGUGAAGGGAGAAGGAGCCAACUGAAGUGUGGAUGUGGCUGUCCCAGACACCAGCAUGCAACUCCACCCAUGGUUGGCAGAGACAUUCAUAGAGAACAAAGAGGAAUGGGAUAGAUAAUUUAAAAAAAAAACUUUUCUGUGAAAUCCCAGAGUUUUAAAAACCCUGACGGAAUGCUGGGUCAUCAAUUCAUGAACUGCAGUUUGAAACUCAAGAGAAGCACAAGGCAGAGACGAGAGACCAGAACGGGAGACAUGUGCACCGGGAGAAAAGGACAAGUGUCAGUCAUUUUAGCAGCAAUGGCACAGCUGAUGGAAUUGGGGAAUAUUCAGAUUGGGAAAAGGAAGGGGAAGGGGAUUGGAUGGGGGAAGGGAUUUUGUCUGGGUAGUGGGUCCCAUCUGGCAACUCUGAAAUCACACCCCAUUGGCAUAUUUCUGCAUCUCCUGGAGUAUAAUCCUUACCCCACAACUCUGAAACUCGUUGGAUUUUUUCCUGGGAUGGGUGACAUAUACUUUAUCAUGAAAGGGGACACUCUUAAUAAUUAUGCUGGAACAACAGAAAUAAAUUGAGAUUGUUUGGAUAAACUGGCAAGUAAGUCAUCUUCAUCUUAUUGGCUAAAUAUAGUAUACUCUACAGAGGACUCACAAGCUAAGCAUGGAAGUACUGGGCCUUUAAACAAUCAAAAUGUCCAGGAUUUGAAGGCAACUUUGUUCAUUGUUAUGAAUCUUUGUGAAUUACUUCAACUCAUUUUCCUCAGUUUCCUCAUCUGCAAAUGGGAGAGCAUAAUAGUUCAGGAUGUGGAACAUGGUAAAGAUUCAGUGAGCGGUGGCUACAGCAAGAAGACAACAAAAAUAUUCUACUUGUGUCUUCUCUUUUUUUAAAAAGCACAAAAAGGCAAAACUAUAGAGACAUCAAAAAGGUCUGUAGUUGUCAGGGUUUAGUAGGGAGAGGGUUGAAUAAACCCUCUUAAAGAGGUGAAGUACAGGAAUUUUUUAAGGCAGUGAAACUCUUCUGUGCAAUACUGUGAUGGUGGAUACCAGGCAUAACAUUUGUCAAAGCCCAUAGGACUGUACAACACACAGAGUGUACCUUAAUGCAUAAAAAAUUUUUAAAAAUAAUUUAGAACAUCUGGUGAAUCCCAAGAUGGAAUGCAGAAUGUGACAAAACCAUCAAACUGUAUUACAAAGUUGGGAAGUCUUCAAAGAACCAACACCCCAGUAGGAAUGAGCACACGAUGCCCAAAUCUUGGUUUCUAAUACCAUUUUCCAGUAGGAAAAAUCAGGCCUUCUGAGAAAUGGCUGAUUCUGGGACGGGAACAGGAAAUAUACAAGAUCUCUCCGCUGGUAACGUUUUGGAUGUGAUCGAACACAAAGCCUAGCACCGCAUAGGAACUCAGUACUUAAUGGAUGGGAGAAAGAAAAGAAGGGAGGAAGAGAAGGAGACUGGAGGACGAUCCAUCAUGCGGGCAACGUGGCGUGAGACAGAAUGCCCGCCCUGUUGACUUGAAAGGCCACAGACAGACCCCUAGAGCUGACGGGGUAGGACAGCCUUAGAUGUGGGGGUCUGAAGGGGAAAGGGGUCGCCGGUGCCCUGGAGGAAGGGAAGAAGCCGCUAACAAGAUCGUGACUCUGGGUAUCUGGGAGACCUGACUCUGCAGUAAGACGCUCUGGUUCCCAUUCCUGCCGGCUGUGUCACUGCUUCCACUCUCCAGAUCCCAGUGUCUUUGUGUUUGGGGAGUAACAAACAGUACCUACUUCAUUGAGCUGGUGUCAGAACUGCGUUGGGAUAGUGCAUGUCAAGUUCUUAAUACAAUGCCUGCAACAGUCAACGUGCUGUCACCAGUAGCUGUUACAAUUGAAAAAGGGAUUGGAUUUGAUUAGGUGGAGAGAAUAGGGGUGUUAUCAUUAUCAGUGUGGGUGAGGAUGGAGGAGCAAUGUGGAAAUUCUACAGAAGAGAGCAGUUUAGAUGUCAUAUAGAAAAUCAUGGGAGAUGACAGCCAGAGGGCCAAAAAGCAAAAAUACCCAUGAUUAGCUACUCUCUGAGGGCCUGGUACUCUACCAAGCCUUCUAAAUGAAUUGUUUUAUUUCAUUUUUUCACCAGCUGUGAUGAGGAGGCAGUUAACAUUAAACCCUUUUUUUUCUGGUGAGAAAACAGGCCUGAGGAGGUUAUGUGACUUGCCCGAGCCAAGAAAUGAUAGAGCCCAAACAGGAGCAUUUGUGAGGCCCAGGACAAAAGUAUACAGUUGGAGGUCCAUAUGCAGUAUGUCUCUAAUUAGAAGAUAUACAUCAGUCUAAUGCAUAUGUGUUAAAUGAUACAUGUUCUAUUCUCCUUGAUGAAUAUGCCUUCAUGACAACCUGAAAGACCAGGUUUGAAGCAUAAUUUGAGGACUCUUGAAGUUCUGUGCCAGAAUGUGUUGGCACAUGGAGAGCUACCCUCUGGAUCCUGCGUCCAGUCCUUAUCCAGUUACCUCCCAACCUAUCAAGGAGGAACCUGGCACGUGUGAGUAGACACUCAGCCCCCACAUCCAAGCUGUUUCUUGCUAACAGUUACUCCGAGAACUAAGCCUCAGGUCUAUACCAUUUGCAUCAGACAGUGUAGUUUGUCCUCAACUGAGAUGGACCCAAGGAUGCAACCCAUGAAGGCUCUGUAAAUGAGUUUCAGGGUAUUUUGGCAGGGAAUUCUGGGGUCCCUGAAAAUGGUCUCAGAGAAUUCUGGUGGGCAACUCCUCUGGUAUCUGCAGAAUCCUGACCCUGCACCCUGGUGGGGGGCAGUGGUCAGGGCUCAGGAUAGGGCUUACUCUUACCAGGGGUGAAGGAGUGUUGGAGCCAAGCAUUUGGAGUCGUCUGUGCCUCACGGUGCCAGGGGACAUGCAGGUUCAGUUUCAGUGAUAUGCCCUGAGAGAAAUAGGGGAGGAAAGGCCUGACCUCACAGGCUGAAGAAACCCUCAUUGAAGGUGAGAGAAGAUGUGAAUUAGCUUUUUAAAGAUGAAUGAAUGAACCUUUUCUAAUAUAGUCAGUGACAGGUGUGCUGAGGGAUACUUUGAGUAUCAUUAAAGAAGGACAAAUAAAUACAUGUCCUGAUCUGUAAUCUCAGCCAAGUAAUUUCAAUAUUUUCAAUAAAUAUUUUUCAGGUUUUUACUAUGUGCCAGGCACAGUGCUAAAUGCUGGAGCUACAACCAAGAGCAAAAUAGUCAUGGUCCCUGCCUUCUGGGACAUCGAAAUUGAGAGACAGAGGCCAAUAUUAAUCAGACCAUGGUAUAAACACAUAAUUGUAUCUGCAAUAACUGUGGAAGGGGAGAGGGUAAGAGGGUCUGGUCUAGAAGGUUAGGGAAGGCUGCAGUUAAGAAGUGGCACUAGAGCUGAGUGCCAGAGAAGGCAUGGGUUAACCACAGGCUCAGGAAGGGUGAAUUCCUAGAAUGACUAGCAGAAGCCCAGCCAGGGUGAGAGGGUGAGGCCCAGAGGAGCCAGGGUGCAAGGCCUCAGCCCCAGGGAGGACACAAAGUCUUUGAGGGUCUUUAAGCUGGGAAAUUAUGUGAUCAAAUUUCAUUUGGGGACAAUUUUCCUAGAUUGAAGGAGACUAAGCUUGGAAGCAGCAUGACCAGUGAGUUGGCUGCUCUAGAGUCUUAAACUCCCAUCAAAGUUUCUUAUUUUUAGAGACAGAGGAAAUAAUGGACUUCUGUCUCUGCAGAGUCUACAGGAAUUGCUUUGAAGUCUUAUGUUGUGUUUUGCAUUUGUUUUUGUUGUUAAUUAUUUUUUUGGCCAGAGCUAACACAGGAAAUAAUUAAAAGCAAACAAAAACCAGGGAUAUACUGUGAAAAAUGUUUUCCUUCCAUCCUAAACCCCAAAUAUUCAGCUCUCAGAAGCUACAACUAUCUAUUUUAUUAAUAUCCUUCCAGAGUUAGUCUAUAGAUAAGCAAGCAUAUGUAUAUAUUUAUUCCAACAUUUUAAAUUAUAAUUAACAUAUAUCAAAUCACCUUGUAUACUUUAAAUAUAUUGGUUUUAUUUGUUAAUUAUACCUCAAUAAAGCUGA